UGUGUGAGGUCAGACCUCGGGUGAGGGGGACGCCGUGUGUGAGGUCAGACCUCGGGUGAGGGGGACGCCGUGCGUGAGGUCAGACCUCGGGUGAGGGGGACGCCGUGUGUGAGGUCAGACCUCAGGUGAGGGGGACGCCGUGUGUGUGAGGUCAGACCUCGGGUGAGGGGGACACCGUGUGUGAGGUCAGACCUCGGGUGAUGGGACGCCGUGUGUGAGGUCAGACCUCGGGUGAGGGGGACGCCGCGUGUGAGGUCAGACCUCAGGUGAGGGGGAGCCGUGUGUGAGGUCAGACCUCGGGUGAGGGGGACGCCGCGUGUGAGGUCAGACCUCGGGUGAGGGGGACGCCGUGUGUGAGGUCAGACCUCGGGUGAGGGGGAGCCGUGUGUGAGGUCAGACCUCAGGUGAGGGGGACGCCGUGUGUGUGAAGAAUUAUCUGCCCGAGAGGGAGAUCCACCUGUUGCUCCACUCCCAGUUGCUUGCAGCAGCCAGGGCUGGGCCGAGCCGACCCAGGAGCCCAGGGCUCCAUUUAAGCCUCCCAGCGGGCGGUAGGGGCCCAGUGCUUAGGCCGUGCCUCCCUGCCCUCCCAGACACGCCAGCGGGAGCUGGAUCGAGGCAGAGCAGCCAGGGCACCCACGUGGCUUCACUCUGGCUCAGGCUGUCUCGCAGGCACAGCGGACCCCGCCUGAGUGGCUCAUUCAUCCCACAAGCAGGUCUUCAGGCAGCGCCUGCUGCGCACUAGGCCCUGGUGCCUGUGCAGACGCGGUGGGGCGGGGAGCGGGGCUGGGGAGCCCUGCUGGCUCCGAGCUCGCAGUGGGGGUCGUGCUGCAGGUGGGUGGGGACACCCCGCGGCAGAUCGCGCCGUCUUCUGCCAGUUUCCCUGGUCAGGAAGAGCGGUGGAGUUUUGUGUCCUUUCUACCUGACACGUCCCCGAUUCCAGACUCCCGGGGGACAGCAGGUGCUCAGUGCUAACCCCUCGUCCAUGAGGAGAGCGCUCCCGAAACCCAGGCCCAGCCCUCGCAAGCAGAGCCGCCUCAGGGCUGCCGCACCAGCCCGCUGCCACCCUGCUGGCUUUGACAAACAUGGAGAAGAGAAGAACCCCUCGGGAAGAGGAAGGGGCAGGUGUGCGAACCGGGGAGCAGAUGCAGCUCUGACCGUGACCCUGACCUUCCUGCAGGCUCAUACCCGUGCUCUCCUCUGUUCCU